rnacentral:rRNA from 1 species
CUUCACCCCAGUCACGAAUCCUACCGUGGUAAGCGCCCUCCUUGCGGUUAGGCUACCUACUUCUGGUAAAACCCGCUCCCAUGGUGUGACGGGCGGUGUGUACAAGACCCGGGAACGUAUUCACCGCGACAUGCUGAUCCGCGAUUACUAGCGAUUCCAACUUCAUGUAGUCGAGUUGCAGACUACAAUCCGGACUACGAUACACUUUCUGGGAUUUGCUCCCCCUCGCGGGUUGGCGACCCUCUGUAUGUACCAUUGUAUGACGUGUGAAGCCCUACCCAUAAGGGCCAUGAGGACUUGACGUCAUCCCCACCUUCCUCCGGUUUGUCACCGGCAGUCUCAUUAGAGUGCCCUUUCGUAGCAACUAAUGACAAGGGUUGCGCUCGUUGCGGGACUUAACCCAACAUCUCACGACACGAGCUGACGACAGCCAUGCAGCACCUGUGCGCCGGUUCUCUUUCGAGCACCC